UCAUUGCACUCCAGCCUGAGCAACAAGAGCGAGACUCUGUCUGGAAAAAAAAAAGAAAAAAGAAAAAAAUAGCUAUUGUUAUAGCGAUUAGGUCUUACAAUAAUUUCACAUUUGUUAUUAUGACAGCAGGUGCAGUGGGGGUUUUAAUUAUACAAUACAGCUUGUGCAGAGAUUUCAUAUCAAUAUUUUGUGGUAUCAGAUAAACGUUAGCUCAGGGUUUGGACUACAUGCAUCUUAGUAAUGUUGAUAGGAAUCUUGUAGCUAACUCCCAAAGUGGAUUUCUAAAUGUGAACCUUGGUAAAUCCAGGCUAAUGCAUUCCACCCCCCCUGAAAGUAAUAUCCAAAAUUAUCUUAAAGAAAACACUGUGGAAGGCCGAGGCGGGCGGAUCACCUGAGAUUGGGAGUUCGAGACCAGCCUGACCAACAUGGAGAAACUCCGUCUCUACUAAAAAUACAAAAUUAGCCAGGUGUGGUGGCGCAUGCCUGUAAUCCCAGCUACUUGGGAGGUUGAGGCAGGAGAAUUGCUUGAACCUGGGAGGCAUAGGUGGCAGUGAGCUGAGAUUGUCACAUUGCAUUCCAGCCUGGGCAACAAGAGUGAAACUCCAUCUCAGAAAAGAAAAAAAAAAAAAUAACUAAAUUGUUGAAAUUUUAGAGAACCUGCUUCAUAUCUUAGUAUCUUUCUUAACAUGGUUUUCUUUGAUGCUAUGUAUUCUUUAUGUAGUAGAAUUUUUUAACCUGCAGGAAAUUUUCCUCUUCAUUCUCUAAUGAAAUUG
rnacentral:lncRNA from 1 species